rnacentral:rRNA from 1 species
ACUACGGGUGGCAGCAGUGGGGAAUAUUGCUCAAUGGGGGAGACCCUGAAGCAGCAACGCCGCGUGAAGGAUGAAGGUUUUAGGGUUGUAAACUCCUUUUGUUAGGGAAGAUAAUUCCGGUAUGUCACGGAUAAGCACCGGCUAACUCCGUGCAAGCAGCCGCGAUAAUACGGGGGGUGCAGGCGUUACUCGGAUUGCCUGGGCGUAAAGAGUGCGCAGGCGGGCUUGUACGUCCGAUGUGAAAUCCUGCAGCUUAACCACAGAACUGAAUUUGAAACUAGGAGUCUAGAGUGUGGGAGAGGUAGGUGGAAUUCGUGGUGUAGGGGUAAAAUCCGUAGAUAUCACGAGGAAUACUGAUUGCGAAGGCGACCUACUGGAACAUUACUGACGCUCAUGCACGAAAGUGUGGGGAUCAAACAGGAUUAGAUACCCCUGUAGUC